UACGUAGGGGGCAAGCGUUAUCCGAAUUUAUUGGGCGUAAAGAGCAUGUAGGAGGUCUUGUGCGUCUUGCGUUAAAGCCCACCGCCUAACGGUGGAACUGCGCGAGAUACGACAAGACUAGAGGAGGUUAGAGGUGCAUAGAACGCACGGUGUAGGGGUGAAAUCCGUUGAUAUCGUGCGGAAUACCAAAGGCGAAGGCAGUGCACUGGGACUUUCCUGACUCUGAGAUGCGAAAGCGUGGGGAGCAAAAAGG
rnacentral:rRNA from 1 species